AAGCGAGUGGCGAACGGCUGAGUAACACGUGGAGAACCCUGCCCCCUCCCCCCGGGAUAGCCGCCCGAAAGGACGGGUAAUACCGGAUACCCCCGGGCGCCGCAUGGCGCCCGGGCUAAAGCCCCGACGGGAGGGGAUGGCUCCGCGGCCCAUCAGGUAGACGGCGGGGUGACGGCCCACCGUGCCGACAACGGGUAGCCGGGUUGAGAGACCGACCGGCCAGAUUGGGACUGAGACACGGCCCAGACUCCUACGGGAGGCAGCAUG
rnacentral:rRNA from 1 species